CUCGGUGUGGUGGAGACUCGGCCCUCAUUCCGGGAACUGCUUUGAUUGCCUUACACGGAACACGGAACACAAGGCGAGGCGCGGGGGAGGCGAGGCGAGGCGCGACAAGGCGGACACCCGGACACUGUGGAAGUAAUGGAAGCUUGACAAACAAAAACAACAACAACGUGAGAGUGAAUAAGUGAAGACGGAA